rnacentral:rRNA from 1 species
UCCGAGUUGUAAUUUGCAGAGGGCGCUUUGGUGUUGGCAGCGGUCCAAGUUCCUUGGAACAGGACGUCACAGAGGGUGAGAAUCCCGUACGUGGUCGCUAGCCUCCGCCGUGUAAAGCCCCUUCGACGAGUCGAGUUGUUUGGGAAUGCAGCUCUAAAUGGGAGGUAAAUUUCUUCUAAAGCUAAAUACUGGCCAGAGACCGAUAGCGCACAAGUAGAGUGAUCGAAAGAUGAAAAGCACUUUGGAAAGAGAGUCAAAUAGCACGUGAAAUUGUUGAAAGGGAAGCGCUUGCAGCCAGACUUGCCUGUAGUUGCUCAUCCGGGCUUUUGCCCGGUGCACUCUUCUAUAGGCAGGCCAGCAUCAGUUUGGGCGGUUGGAUAAAGGUCUCUGUCAUGUACCUCUCUUCGGGGAGGCCUUAUAGGGGAGACGACAUGCAACCAGCCUGGACUGAGGUCCGCGCAUUUGCUAGGAUGCUGGCGUAAUGGCUGUAAGCGGCCCGUCUUGAAACACGGACCAAGGAGUCUAACAUCUAUGCGAGUGUUUGGGUGUCAAGCCCGAACGCGUAAUGAAAGUGAACGGAGGUGGGAACCCCUUGGGCGCACCAUCGACCGAUCCUGAUGUCUUCGGAAGGAUUUGAGUAAGAGCAUGGCUGUUGGGACCCGAAAGAUGGUGAACUAUGCUUGAAUAGGGU